rnacentral:rRNA from 1 species
GUUGGAAUUGCCAGGACAGUUCGAGAAGUAGCGACAUUUAUCCAGUCGCAUUCCCCCAGCAUGGUGUUUUUAUGUGAAACUAGGAAACCAAAGGAGAAAAUGAAGAAGUACAGGAAAAUAUUUGGUUUGAAAGGUUUUGAUGGGGUUGAUAGCAUUGGCAACAAUGGAGGGCAAGCUCUAUACUGGAAUGAGGCAUUUAAUGUUGAUGUUGUUUUUUCAAAUCAAAGGUGUAUGGAUGCUUAUGUCAAACUAGGCCCUGAGGACUUGUGUUUAUGGUGA